GACGAACCGUGCGAACGUUGUUCGGAAUCACUGGGCUUAAAGGGCGCGUAGGCGGGCUGACAAGUCUGGGGUGAAAUGCCGCGGCUCAACCGUGGAACUGCCUUAGAUACUGUCGGCCUCGAGGAAGGUAGGGGCAUGCGGAACUGUAGGUGGAGCGGUGAAAUGCGUAGAUAUCGUUUGGAACGCCAAUGGUGAAAACAGGUUGCUGGGAGUGUGCUGACGCUGAGACACGAAAGCCAGGGGAGCAAACGGG
rnacentral:rRNA from 1 species